CAGAAUAUAGUUUAUAAAAAAUACUAACUUUGGGAGUUAGAGAAUAAAAAUAAUUUUUAUAUUCUGA
rnacentral:tRNA from 1 species